AAGAGAGCCCUGGAAGGCAAUGAGCAGCUGGUAGGCAAUCUAAGGAUUGGAGUACUGUUAGGACCAUUUACAGAUGGAAUUUCAGAGGGUCCACAUGGAGAAGGAUCGCUUUAUACUCUGGUGGAUCAACCUCACAAGGAAUGCGCAGUGGUGCCUCCCCCUGUGAGCCCACCAUUUCCCUCAAGAAACAACUACACAAGACCAAGGGAAUCUUGCAGCUGUCCAGUUGGAAACAAAUUGUAUGUAAAGACUACCUCAACUAAAAGCCACAGAACAGAUUUUCCUCACUAUUUGACUAUAGGAGGAAAACAGACCUUUAUGGAGCUAAAGAAUCUUGAGAGAGAUGGGAAAUUGACUCUAAGCACCAUCCAUAAAUACCCUAGAGUCUGCUACUGAAUUCAUGGAUUGGAUUAAGCUACAAUCAAGAACGAGUAUAGUAGCGAUAGGAGUCUGUGUGUAAGUAAAUCAAUAAAUAGACAAAACAUCUGUGGUUUGUAUA
rnacentral:lncRNA from 1 species